rnacentral:rRNA from 1 species
UAUGUGAUCGUCUCUCGCAUAUCAAUAAGCGGAGGAAAAGAAACUAACAAGGAUUCCCCUAGUAACGGCGAGUGAAGCGGGAAGAGCUCAAAUUUGAAAUCUUAAAGGGUUUCCCUUUACGAAUUGUAGUUUAAAGAAGUGUUUUCUGUUGAGGUUUUGGUAAAAGUUCUUUGGAAUAGGACAUCAUAGAGGGUGAGAAUCCCGUAUUUGACCUAUUACUUUCAACUUUGUGAUACACUUUCAAAGAGUCGGAUUGUUUGGGAAUGCAGUCCAAAAUGGGUGGUAAAUUUCAUCUAAAGCUAAAUAUUGGCGAGAGACCGAUAGCGAACAAGUACCGUGAGGGAAAGAUGAAAAGAACUUUGAAAAGAGAGUUAAACAGUACGUGAAAUUGUCAAAAGGGAAGCGUUUGACACCAGUGUUGUUUUUCUGAAAAUCAAUUAAAGAACUGUUUAUGCUAAGCUGUUUAGACUUUAUCAGCUAACUGUUUAGUUUUGAGCUUUUCUUUAAUGCACUUUUCAGUUAACAAGUCAACAUCAAUUUCUUUUGCUGUAAAAAAGCUUGAGGAAGGUGGCUUGAGAUUCGUCUUAAGUGUUUAUAGCCUCUUGCCUAUGCAGUCGGAGAGAUUGAGGUCUGCAGCGUAGAUCCUUCGGGGCUAAAUGCAUUUGUGCUAAGUUAUAGCAUUUUAUAGACAACUUGUUGACUAUGAUUUGUCUUGUAGCUUACUCGCUUAUGUUAUUUUACCUACGCUUAGGAUGUUGAUCUACAGAGCGAGAGU